UGGGGUGUAGCCAAGUGGUAAGGCACCGGUUUUUGGUAUCGGCAUGCGUAGGUUCGAAUCCUACCACCCCAGCCA
rnacentral:tRNA from 2 species